AUCUAAUUUAACUUUUUUUUUUUUUUUAAUAUACUCUCUGCCAGCAACUCUCUGCAAGGUCCUAAGGGUUCUAAGUUGAAUAAGGCCCACUCCCUCCCUUCCAGGACUUUAGCUGAGGUUGGUUGGGGCAGAAGUCGGGCAAGACUCAUCGGAACGGAUUAACAGAGACAGAAUCCAGAGGCAACGGGGUGAAUUCCAAGUAUAGAAAAGACACACUUGGUCUGAGGGUAUGUUUCAGCUCAGGCAUGCUGCCAUCAGGACCACGUAAAGCUGGAUUUUUCUACGCUAGUCCAUUUGCACGAUCUGGACUCAGAAGAGAUUUAAGUUUCAAAUCUGGCUUUGUCAGUUAAUGCUUGUGGGAUCUCAACCACGUCACUGACUUCUCUGAGCAUGCUUCCAUAUUUCUACAAAGGAAACAAUAGGUGACUCUGCUGAGUUGAGCACUUGCGAGUACCAAGCAGUGAGGACCUGAGGCACAGAUGCUAACCAGCUUGCUGGAGAUCACACACUCAUGAGUGGCAGAGUGGGGCUUGGAACCGGGUAGCCUGGCUCUGGAGCCCUCACUCCAUCCACACACCAUGCUGGGACCCAGUCGAGUGACCAGCAGACCGGUUGUGUGGGUUAGGUGGAAUGGUGGAUAUAAACCACACAGCCCAGCUCCUGACCCAUGCUGGGCCCUCAUUCCUCCUGAAUUCCUUCUCAUUCCUGCCGCCUUCUGAAGAAGGUGCCUUGCUUCCCCUUCACCUUCUGCCGUGAUUGUAACUUUCCUGAGGCCUCCCCAGCCAUGC
rnacentral:lncRNA from 1 species